GGGAGCAUAAACGACAGAUUAAAGCACUUCAUGAUCAGCUUCAUGACGCACGUGGUCAAGGAAGUGUCGACACGAAAGCGGCAUCUGGGAAAGAUGGCCAUCCUCAAGAUGACGAGGACGCUUUAAAGAUUACGAAGUGGUGGCAAGCGUCAUCCCUUUUGAAGUGGGACUGGGAGAAACCCCCGGAGUACAUGUGCAGUGAGAUUGAGACGAGGGGCAACUGGCACGUAUGUAACGACACAACCUUUGAGGUCAAGCCACCAUGUCUAGUCUACUCCUUUGGGAUUUCAAAUGACUGG